UACGAAGGGGGCUAGCGUUGUUCGGAUUUACUGGGCGUAAAGCGCACGUAGGCGGAUCUUUAAGUCAGAGGUGAAAUCCCAAGGCUCAACCUUGGAACUGCCUUUGAUACUGGGGAUCUCGAGUUCGGGAGAGGUGAGUGGAACUGCGAGUGUAGAGGUGAAAUUCGUAGAUAUUCGCAAGAACACCAGUGGCGAAGGCGGCUCACUGGCCCGAUACUGACGCUGAGGUGCGAAAGCGUGGGAGCAAACAGGG
rnacentral:rRNA from 1 species